rnacentral:rRNA from 1 species
UCCAGUCUCCUACGGGAGGCAGCAGUGGGGAAUAUUGGGCAAUGGGCGCAAGCCUGACCCAGCAACGCCGCGUGAAGGAAGAAGGCGCCAGGCGUCGUAAACUUCUUUUGUCGGGGAACAAAGGGCGCCACGCGUGGCGUUGUGAGUGUACCCGAAGAAAAAGCAUCGGCUAACUCCGUGCCAGCAGCCGCGGUAAUACGGAGGAUGCGAACGUUAUCCGGAUUUAUUGGGUUUAAAGGGUGCGUAGGCGGUCCGGAAAGUCAGGGGAAAAAGCCGGGGGCACACCCCCGGCGAGCCGUUGAAACUGUCGGACUAGAGACGGCGAGAAGUACGCGGAAUGCGCGGUGUAGCGGUGAAAUGCAUAGAUAUCGCGCAGAACUCCGAUUGCGAAGGCAGCGUACCGGCGCCGGACUGACGCUGAGGCACGAAAGCGUGGGUAUCGAACAGGAUUAGAUACCCGAGUAACU